UUAUAAGCUGCAGUGUUUAUUACGUACCAACCUGCUAAACUGAUCAAAUUAAACUUCCUGUCAGGUCCAGAGAUGUGACGGAUGCUUACGAUGACGCUAACUUUAACAGCUUGGGGGAAGCAGGGUGACAACAACAGCCGAAACCAUAUUCCUUGUAUGUCCUGUAAAUGCUUGGCCGUUAAAGCUGAUUAUGGUUAUGCAGGAAUAUCAACAAAAAAAGAAAAGAAAAAGUCCUCUCUGGUGACAACAGACUGAAAAAUGCAAGUGGUGAUGGGAUUCUGCACGGUUUAAAAAAGCAUUCUUCAUCAGUCUGCUGCCAUCUCUUCUGAUUUUCUCUUAUGCUUUCAUUUUAAAAACAUUUUUGCAUUUGCCACGUGAUUCAGAUACGAAGCAUGCUGGUGUCUGUAUGUUGAUGCAGCAGAAAAAUCAAAGAAUGGCAAAAGAUUUAAAGCACUGAAUUAAUCACACACUUCCAGAACAACAGAGCAGACUGUACAGGUCAUGAUUCAUUUAUUGGCUAUGGGUCAGGGAUGACAUUUAUUGCAUAACAGUCUGUGUGAAGGAACCAAAAAAGGCAGUGAAAGUACAGCUGGCUGAGCAAAAAUUCAGUUUUUAAAAUGAAUGUUUGCUAUGAAUACAUAUGUAUAGUUGAACUUUAAACCUCCAUUUGAAAGGAUGGAAAUUCACAGCUGUGGCUAUAAACAACAUGUACAAUUAUUCUGCAUAUGGGAAGAACUAGACACUGGAUAUGAAAAUAAAAUACAUUCAAAGACAUCAACUUAAACACAUUACAUAGGAACAAAUUCCCUAUUUACACAACGGCUCCAGGAGAGAGACGGAAAAAUGCAAGUGCAUUGUUGCCACCUAGUGGCUGAAUCUGCUCAUAACCUACAUCCAAGUUUCUUUUUCUUUUUGCUCUCAAAAAAUAUUCCUAAAACAGGCUACAUUCUCUCAUCACGUCUGCACGCAAAGGCUCCUGUCAAAUAUAUGACUAAUGGACACAGUUUUGCUCACACACUUUAAGAAUGUUAUUAUUCUUGAGAUACAGUUUAAUCUUUGUUGACCCGCUGGCAUAGUGCAAUUAGAUUAGCAAACCAGCAAGUGGCUUGAUUUAAAGCUACAACAUUUAUCAUUUAUUUAUCUGGCUUUUCAAAAGAACAGGAAAAACAUGUUUUUAGGAAACUGAUAUCUCUCACACUUGAUAAGGCACUUUGGCUUAAUUCACUGCAAAUGCACGGACAACUUCACAGUUCCUUGUUUUUAUUUAUUGCCACUUUAAUUUUAUUUCUUUAUUUUUGCAGUUGGGCAAAUAGUGCUGGCUGUGUUGUCUAAAAUCAUAGGCUAAUCUGUAAUGAACUGAAUAGAUGAGAUAUGUGUGACGUUUUGCUUUGUAUUAAAAUGAUUCAUUAAGCCAUCUCACAACAAACACACGAUGCAUCUCAUUACUUCCUUCUCUUGUUUUGGGUUUAACAUAUAAUGUGCAAUAGUCCCGGCCGUUACCCUGUUUUCAUUAUUCUCCUUGUUUUGCAGUUGUUGUUUUUUUUUCAGUUUUUUGAGCUCUGGGACAGAUUAUCUGCUCAAAAA